UUUCUGCCACCUCUUCUAUGCUUUUUCCCUCUUCUUCAUUCAAAAACCCCUCUACAGCCCAUAACUCAACAAGUUCACUUACAUAAAUCUGUUCAUCCUCUGCGAAAAUUGCAAAAUACAGAAAACAUGGUUUUAGGUGAGAAGGCAAGUGAUGGUAACUCAAAGCCAACACUCUCAUGCAUUUUGCUUCAAGAUCUGUGCUUACCACCGAACUUACAUUCUCCGCAACAUUUUGCCACUCAUCCAAUGUUUUACUGAUUUUGGAGAGAAGUCCAGCAAUCACAGUAAUUGCUAGAGGUAACCCUCCACAUUUUAAUGUCAAUUUGUUUCCCAAUAUUUUCAAAUUCAGGAGAAUAAGAACCUUCUUUUUCAAAGAUCUUUUGUGUAGUAAAUUCCAACUUUCGUCAAAAUUCAUGAGGCGCAUAUGAUGAGGAGGCUUACCUGAACUAGCAUAUUCAGCCACUUCCACAUUCCGAGUAGUCAGGAGUAUUCUGCUUCCAUUAUUACAGUCUGGGAAACAUUGUUUUAUAUCAUCCCAAGCUUCUGUAGUCCAUAUGUCAUCAAUGACUACCAAGUAUCUCCUGCCUUUCAGAUUCUUUUGCAGUCGGUCCGCUAGCUGAUCAUCAGGUUCAUUACUUAUCGAAGAAAGAAGGCCUAGGAUUACAUUUCUCACACAAUACUCUUGUGAAACAGUUGCUUUUGCACGAAUAUCAAAUCGAGACAUAAUGUAAGGAUCACUAUAGAGUUUUGUAGCCAAAGUUGUUUUCCCGAUACCUCCCAUCCCUACGAUUGAGACAACUUCUAGUUCCCUUCCUCCUCUAGCAAGUUGAUCCAGCAUCAUCUCAAAUUCAUUUUCACGGCCAACCAUUAUAUUCUCGGGCUGCUCAACAUCAUGUUCAGGUAAACUGACAAGUGAGCUAGUUUGUGGUUUUAGAUCUUUCAUGCUGUCCGAUGCUGCCAUCCACUGUUUCACGGUGGAAUCAAUGCAUUCUAGUGCUUGUUCCAAGACGAAAAAAAUCUCCCACAUAGCCCUGCUUCUUUCCUCCAAAUUCUGUGCUAAAAAAACAUUUCUUGAUUCCGAGUCAACCAUAUCUUCUGUUGUGUAUGCUACCUCUACGAUUUCAACUUCCAAGAUUGUUAACUCCUCAUGAUCGCCCGUUAUAUUGCAGGAAUUCUCCAGAAUAGUUCUUAAAGAUUCGAGCUUUUCAUAAAACGGUUGCAAAUCACAUCCAGUAAGUUCCAUUGAUUGAUGUAUGGUUCUCAUAAGGGAAGUAACAGCAGCAUAAGCCAUAUAUCCAAAAAAUAGAAAUAUCUCUCAGUAUGAAAAUGGACAAAUUGCCACAAGUCAUGUAAUUUUUCAGUUUUUAAGAAAACAGAAAAUGCAAACUUCUUUCUUUUACUAGGCUAUUUCCAUCACAUUUCCAGCUAGGUCCACCAACCUUAUCAUCAUGUAGACAAAAGCAGAGACCAAAGUUUAAAAAAAGAAAAAGAAAAAAAGACAGGAUUCUAACUGGAAAAAGUUGAAAAAAUUGUGACCAUUCAUUAUUAUACCUUACACUUAUCUAUUCAUGAAUAUAAGUAGGGAAAAGGGCCUCAUUUACCCUGAACUUUAUGAUUUGGAGCUGAUAUACCCUUCGUUUAAAAAAUGGCCCAUAUAUGCCCCUGCCGUUAUAGAAAUGGCUCAUAUAUGCCCUUUUACUUAACAGACCAAUAUUUAAUAAAUUAAAAAUUCAUUUUUUUAUGCUUUAAUUUGAGAAAAUGCCACGUGGCUCUUAAAAUACCCCACCCAAUAACUUUUCAGCAACCCGACCCAAUGGAAACAAGAAAACCCCAUCCACUUAAAUAAACCUAGCCCAUUUCAUUCUAUGGUCUCCACUCUCCACGCUUGACAUGAAAAAAAAUCAAAAACUUGUUAGGGUUUCAGUGAGCUCUAAACUGGUGUCAAUCAAUCUCAAUAAUGUUCAAAAUCUUAGGUAAGUUUCGAUUAUUUUCUUCCCUUACUUUUAAGGAUCUUUGGUGUUAAAAAUAUAGGAUAAUAUGUGAGAAAAGUGUAACUGAGUUUACCUAUGUGCUUUUUUCCCUUGACAUUCUGUCCAUGGAAGGUUUAUUUUCUUACUUUAAUACAUGAGUUUAUCUCUUUGUAUGCAGAGAUGGAAUCUUUGUUGGUCCCCAAAUAGUUAUUGUCUCUUUAGUAUUUUAAAAUUCAUUUUUCAAUUGGUUGGUGUUAAAUGCUAAGGUGGUCCCUUAUGUCUAAUUUAUUUGCUUGUUGCAGGUGUCAUUUUGAAGGAUGAUUAAAGAAGUGGAUAUUGUUUUCAACUAUGGGGGCAAUAGGGUAAUUUCCCCAAAGCUGGGAUACAAUAUAAAAUUUCAGCACACCUGGUAUUAUAAUACUUGUUUAGUUUGUUAUGAUGAUUUGUGUGAAGCUUUUACUUCCAAAUUUGGAUUUAAGGAAGUUCAACAAUUGUUGGUCACUGGUCCAUCUGGUACUUAUUAUGUAAUUGAAGAUAAUGAUGGAAUUAAGACUCUUCAAUACUUAUUUUCAGAAGAUUUCAAGGUAAUAGAUUUUUAUGUUGUAGAUGCUCAUGAAUUGAGAGUUUCUGCCACAAAUAUCAUAUAUCAUACUGAAUCAUAUUUUGUGGAUGUUGAAGCUGCUACUGAUUGUGAUUAUAGUGAUGUGGAGGAUGAUACUCUUUAUGAAAUGGGCAACAGUUGUGAAAUUGUUGAAUAUAAUGUUGAAGUGCUUCAACGUUAUGAACAUGAAAAAGAGAGAGUUGUGAGUGAUGGACUUGAAAAGUUUAAGGAAUUAGAAAUGGGUAUGACCUUUAAGACUAUUGAAGAACCUAGGCAGGUUGUUAGCUUUUAUGCUAUGGCUAACAAAAGAAGUUGAAAACAAAAAAAAGUGAUACAAAAAGAAUUAGGUAUGAGUGUUAUGAUGGUUGUCCCUUUUACUCUUCUCAUAUCUAAGGAUGGAAAAUCAGCAACAUUUAAGGUUAAAACAUUGAUGCCUAAGCAUACUUGUGGUGAUUCUUUUGUUAAUCCAUUGGAAACUUAUCAUACCUUGGCUGUUUAUUUUAAGGAUGAAGUUCUAAACAAUCCAAAAUACCCUAUCAAAGACAUGAGAGGAAUUCUUGAAAAAAAAUUCAAGUUGAAUGUCUUAAGAUCCAAACUAAAAAGAGCCAAAACAAUGGCUCUUGAUAAGUUGGAAGGCAGUUUCAAAGAUGACUACAAUAGGCUUGAAGCUUAUGGUCAAGAACUUAGACAAUCAAAACCAGGAUCUGAUGUGGUAAUUAAUAUCUCUAAAGAUGCACUUGAACAAGGCAUAAGAAGGUUUUUGAGAAUGUACAUUUGCUUCAAGGCUUUGAAGGAUGGAUGGAAAAGUUUGAGACCUAUAAUUGGUUUAGAUGGAACAUUUCUCAAAGGAAAAUGCAAGGGGCAACUAUUAGUAGUUGUUGGGCAAGACUCAAUGAAUCAUUUUUACCCAAUAGCUUGGGCAGUGGUGGAAAAGGAAAACACAGGAACAUGGACAUGGUUUAUUCAGUUGUUGAGGAUUUCGUUGGAGUUGAAAAAUGGUGAAAUUGUGACAUUUAUGUCUGAUAUGCAAAAGGUAGCUUUAAAUUUAUUUUUUUCUUAUUGCCUUUUCUUUAUCUUUUUUCUUACUGUCAUUUUUUUCUUUUCGAUUUUUAGGGCCUGUUCGAUGUUGUAGCUAAUGUUGUUCCAGAAGCACACCAUAGGCUUUGUGUGAGGCAUAUAGAAUCUAACUGGUGCAAGAAAUGGCGGAGUGGUGAAGAGAAAAAAUUGAUGUGGUGGUGUGCAUGGAGUACCUAUGAAGAAGAAUUCAAAGACACUUUGAAGGUGUUAGGAAAGGUGGAUGAAGAUUCAGCUAGUGAUCUUCUUCAUUUUCCUGUAAUUAAAUGGUGUAGGGCAUAUUUUGAUACUCAAUGUAAGAAUCUAAUGGUAGACAAUAACUUCACCGAGUCUUUUAACAGUUGGAUACUUGAAGCUAGAAAAAACCAAUCAUUAAAAUGUUGGAGGAAAUUAGAGUGAAGGUGAUGAAUAUGUUGGUGAAAAAUGAAAAAAUGGGCAGAAAAUGGCAAAAUGAUAUCAGUCCAACGGUUAUGAAAUUGUACAAUGACUAUCGAUUAAUGGCUACCAAUGGUACAGUUGAGUUCAAUGGAGAUUAUGGUUAUGAAGUGAAAGAUGGAGACACGGACACACAUACAGUGAAUUUGGAGUUGAAGAAAUGCAUUUGUAGAUUAUGGGACUUGGGUGGAAUACCGUGUCACCAUACCAUCAAGGCAAUUUUGCAUAAAAAAACUGAACCAUUGGAAGAGGUUCAUUACUGCUAUAAAAAGAGGCUUAUUUGUUAACAUACAAGCACAAGUUGCAACCAGUUAGGGGUUCUCAAUUCUGGAAAAUCGACCAUGCUCAAGCAAUGGAACCUCCGAAAAUGGUAAAACUUGUUGGCAGACCCAAGAUGAAAAGAAAUAAAGAAACUGAUGAGGCAAGUUUGAGAAAGGGGGCAUGGAAGCAGUCAAGAAAAGGAACUCUAAUGAGAUGCAACAAAUGUGGUGAUUUCAAUCACAAUGCUAAGGGAUGUUAUAAGGUAAUCUCUCUUAAUAUUUUCUUUUAGUUAAAAGGUGUUCAUUUUUGUCAAUCACAACAAUUUUUUUGGGUUGAAGGACCAUGAAGACGGUGAAAGUUAGCAUGAAAGAAAUAAGAAAGCAAGCAAUCAAAAGUCGAGGAGUUGAGCAAGAAAAAACUCUAUUGUAGAGUAUGAGACAGAAGCUUCACCCCAACAAUUUCAGACAAAACAGUCGACUGCCUAUGGUCCUAAGAUCGGGAAUGAUGAAGAUCCAGCAUUGCGACCAAUGGUAAUUUUUGAGACAGAAACAAGGAUGGAAAAGAGGUCUCGAAUAUUUGAAGGAAUAGGAAGCAGGAAGAUUGUUUUUUAAGGGGAUGCAAGAGGAAUCUCGACCCCUUCGGAUCUACCAUAUUCACCAAAGAAGACUACUUGAAAGGGCAAGAAAGCAGUCACAAUUGAUCAGUUACAAGCUGAAGUAAAGAAGAAAAGAGUGAAACAAAUGGCAAUGAAGGGCAAAUGGCCCGUGGAUACUAAUGAUGAUCUAGUUUAGAAGUCGUUGUGUGGUUGAUCAUUUUUUGACAUUAGGUGGUUAUUUUGGAUAGUAUUAUAUGAUGUAAAUCCAAACAAUUUCUUUUGUUGCUAACCAUAUAAUAGAUAUUUGUGGUUGGUUUAACCACCAGAAGGUUAAUCUUCUUUUGCUGGUAACUUGUGUUAAGAUAAUUUUAUAAAAAUUGAGAAUUAUAUUCUACUGCAUCUGGUGUAAUUAUUGUUGAUUGUAUUUUGUGUGAGAGAGUAAAUUUAUGUGCUUUGAUUGGUAGCGUUGUUUAAAUUACGACUAAAAUUAGCAUUGUUCACGAUCUUCUUUGAACUAGUAGAUAGCUCACAGAUGAUUCAACGUGGAAUGUCAAGGAGUCAUUGAUGAUUCUCUAUCAUUUUACCUCGAGCUUUUGAUUCUCUUUCAUUACUAAAUAAUACAAAAGUUGACAAAAUCACUACACAAGACCAAAUAAGGUGAAUCAAAAGUUGUCAUAAAUCAAUACAAUGAACCAAAAGUUAAUUACACAUAAGUCACAAAACUGCAAAUGAGAUGAAAAAGUUUAGUCGCAUAAUAUGGCCUUGGAAUCUAUCAUUUAAAUUCCCAGAAAAGAUAUGAUCCUACAAAGUACUACUAUAUUUCCAAAUUUUACAAACUUUUUGCCUCAGUGAGUGAAGAAAAGAACCCAACUAAGCAACUGAAUGUAAAAUAACUUCAAACUUUUCUCUCGAAUUUUAAGAUUUCAUAAACGCAAUGACUCCGUCCACAGUUCGUUCGCGAACACUCUGAAUAUGUGGUGUGACGGCCAAUAAAACUUCAGCAGACUCUUGAUUUUCACUUGUAGCUGCAAGAUGUAUUAGCAUGUAAUUAUCACUGACAGUAUCCCCUGCCUUUACCACACAACGAAAGAAUGAACUGCCGCAACUGCUAGCAGAGGACACAUAUUAUCAUCUCCUAUUUGAGCAUCAAAAUUAGCAUGGUGUUUUAGCAAAACCGUAAUAGCAUCUUCCUGGCUGCGGUCUACAACGCAUAUUAAUGGUGUUCCAACAUCAACAUCACUUCGCAAAUCAACGUCUACACCUAUCGGUAGAAACAAUUUAACCAAUUCAAUAUGCCCAUUUCCUGCAUCAUUAAAUGGACAAAAUAAAACACAUAAGAAUAUCACUUCAAGCAAAGAAUAUCAAGAACAAAUUUACCCUAUAACUCUAACACCAAAGGUCCUUAAAAGAAAAGGGAAGAAAGUAAUCGAAACUUACAUAAGAUUUUGAACAAUAUUGAGACUGAUUGACGCCAAUUUAGAGCUCACCGAAACCUACCAACAUUUUGAUUUUUUUUCUUGUUGAGCGUGGAGAGUGGAGACCAUAGAAUUAAAUGGGUUAAAGUUUAUUUAAGUGGGUGGGGUUUUCUUGUUUUCAAUUGGGUCGGGUUGGUGAAAAGUUAUUGGGUGGGGUAUUUUAAGAGCGAUGUGGCAUUUUCUCAAAUUAAAGCAUAAAAAAAUGAAAUUUAAUUUAUUAAAUAUUGGUCUGUUAAAUAAAAGGGCAUAUAUGGGCCAUUUCUAUAACGGCAGGGACAUAUAUGAGCCAUUUUUUAAACGGAGGGUAUAUCAGCUCCAAAUCAUAAAGUUGAGGGGUAAAUCAGGCCCUUUUCCCAUAUAAGUAUGUUUCUUACAUACAAGAGAUUGAUGAUUUUAAUUCCAUUGAAAGCUACUUAGUAGAAUUUUCCAAAUCAAAGAGAGAGAAAUAUUAAGAUCCAAGUAGGAAUUUCUCUAUUCCUAGUUCGAUUCAAUUAACCAAGCAUAAAUAUCUCUUAAUAUACAAGAGAAGUUUAGACUCUAAAAGUCAAAUCAACAAAAUAUUGAUGGGCUAACACAUGAAAAACUACUGAGAAAAUCGCCUAAUUCCUGUAAAUUGUCCCUUAAAUACCCAAAAUGGACUCUAAAAAUUGUUAGAAUGUACGUAUUGCUCCCCCAACUCCCUACUGAGGGUUUUGUAAAGAUUUCGAUUAGAAAUCGUCCAUAAGUCAUAUCACUAAUAUAUUAAUGGUUAACACACACGACAAACUGAGAAAAUUAUCUAAUUUCUUUAAAUUGGCCCCUAAAUGCCUAAAAUGGACUCUAAAAGUUGUGAGACUGUACAUACUGCUCCCCCGACUCCCUACAGAGGGUUUCGUAAAUGUGUAGCAAAGAAAUCGUCUGAAAGUCAUAUCACUGAAAUAUUAAUGGGCUAACACAUACAAAACACUGAGAAAGUCGCCUAAUUCCUGUAAAUUGGAAUUCUAAAAUUGUGAGACUAUACGUAUUGCUCCAUUAACUCUCUAUGGAGGGUUCCGUAAAGAUUUCACAAAGAAAUUAUUCGAAAGACUUAUCACCAAAAUAUUCAUGGGCUAAUACAGACGAAUUGAGAAGAUCACCUAUUUCCUAUAAAUUAGCCGUGGGAUACCUAAAAUGGACUCUAAAAAUUGUGAGACUAACUCCCUACGAAGGGUUCCAUAUAAGUUUCGCAAAAGAAAUCAUUCAGAAAUCAUAUCACCAAAAUAUUUAUGGAUUAACACACACGAAAAAUUGAAAAAAUCGCCUAAUUCUUUUAAAUUGGCCCCUUAAUCCCUUUACGAGAUUAAUUAGAGAUGCGCGAGCGCGCGCACACACACACAUACACACACAUAUAUAUAUAUAAAGAAGAGAAGCUAGUUGUAGGGUUUGAUUGCCAUAAAAUACUUAGACAAUGUGGGUGACGCACAUUGUGAAUCUCAUGAAUUGACUCGUGGAUCAUUGUGAUAUUGGCCCAUGAAACUUAGUCUUAGGGAAAGAUUGUUGGGUGUGAGAUUGAAUUUCCACAUUUGAGAAGCUAUAUAUAAGGUGUAGGAUCUCUUAAGGGAAAAUUUCAUGUAUGGAAAACGUAUUUAAUGAAAUAACGCUCUAUAGGUAUAGUUUAGUAAUUACAUUCAAUGGGUAGUUUAGUUUGCUAUGAAGCAUUAAUUUUGUAUAUAAUGUUUUUUUUAAAAAUAAUUUAUACAAUAUUUUUUUUAAUAAAUGGAUACAUGAGCGCUAAAUACAGUAACAAAAAAUUUACAUAAUCCCAUGAUUCAAGCUAAUCGUUCAAAAUCAAAUAUUUUUCCAAAAAAGAGUUCUAUAGCAAUAGAAACACCAUAACAGCUGGUUUCCUCAAACGACUGAAGCAUACGAUUAAUCAAUAUUCUUGUAUAUUCAACACCAGGUAAGCGUUUCUUUCAAGGAAACUUCAUGUUUUGAACGGCAAGAAAGUAUACAAUUGAUUUGUAUAGUAUAUAAUUGAAAUUUUGGAAAACGGAUUAUUUUUGUUUUGUUCAUUCUAAUGGUUCGCAAUAAUUUAAUUUUGUUUAUACAAUAUUAGAUAAAUUUUAUAUUAACAAUUCAAUUCUAAUUUUUUGUUCAAAAAAUUGAAUGACACAAUUUGUAUAUAUGAAGUGUAUAUGAUUCGACAACAAUGGUGUGCUUUAAUUUGCUAAUUUUUGUUGUUGUUGUUGUUGUAAUUUUACUGUAUAAAUAAGUUAUACGAUUUGUAUAUUGUUUAAUUGGUAAUAUUGUAUAUAUGUAAGUAAUUGUAUACAAUUAUUAUACCAUAAAUAAGUGUAAGUAGUUGUAUAAAAUUACUAUGACAAUUAUAUAUAUGAAUUGUAUAUGAUUCAAUAAAAAAGGUGUGCUUUAAUUUGAUAAUUUUUGGUGUAACCUAAUGUUGACACCCAUUUUUGGACCUCCACAAUAUAUAUUAAUUCUCGAGCUUCUUAGAUUUCAAAUGAUUUGGAGUUAUUAGUUUAUAAAAUUUAAAUAUUUUUUAAAAAGAUUUUUGAAGCGAUUUAGUCGGCUUUAUAAUAUUUUAGAUAAUAGAUGGAUUUUACAUAAUUACUUAUAUAAUCAACGUGUAUUAUUAGCAUUUGGAAAUCAUCUUGAAAUAUUUUGCAUUUUUUAAAAUUAACUAUGUUAUUAAUUUAGUUUAGUAUAAAUUAAAGUUAUGAUUCUGAGUUAUUUGAAUUAGUUAGUUUAUAAUUAAAUUGUUUAUUUUAUUUUUGUUAAGAUUAAGAAGCUUGUUAAUUAAUUAAUAACAAUUCAUCUUAUUUAGACUUUGGCCGAAUUCACCAAUUAAUCCCAAUUUGGCUAAGUUUUAACUCUGAAUGGUUAUAAUCGUAAUCCAUUUAGCCCUUCUUGAUAUUGCAAUUUUAACCAUUCUCUAACCUUACCUCUAGCUUAUUUAAAUAAUCACCAAGGGGCUUUUAUCCUUGAUUACAUUUUCAGCAACACCCAAGCCCAUUUUUCCAUCAGCGUACAAUUAUUUCCAGCCAAUAAACUCCAGCAGUCCAUACCCACCCUCCAAUUCCCAUUACAGCAUACAACAAUUCCCAGUGAUUCAAACAUACACGUAGAGCAGCACCAACCGACCCCAUCCCCUUUAUUUCGCUCAUCUCCUCGUCCGUUUCAAAGUAAUAUUCUGGUGUUUGGAAGCAUCUGUUCUGUGAUUGUUCGUUGUUAUUUUUCAUAGGAUUGAUGAUGUUUUUAACGUAUUAAAUGUACACUUAAUUGUUUCCAUCAGUUAGUCCUAAUAUGGGGUCAAGUUCCGGAGAGCCAUUAAAGUUUUAUUUUGUUGUAUUUCUUUUCUUGAGCCUGCUCCUCGAACAUCGUCGAAUCUAUGUUCUUUUCGCUUUAGCAUCUUGAAUAUUGAAAGUUCCAUUCACUUUAUUACUGCUAAUGUUCUCUGUUCUUCCUUUGAGAUGAGGAAAAAUCUUCCGUACAAAUUGUAUGUUGUUGUAGCUGCUGUUCGGUAGGCAUAAGUGGUUAUUUUCUUCUUGAUUAAAUUUCAUGGCCGUCCUAUUUUGCAUUGCGAAUGUGUAACUGUUUAUUUGGUUUUUAUUCCUCCUCAUUUUCAGCAUAUUUCCAUAAUUUUGGUUGAGUGUAUUGCUUAUUCUAACUUGAAGCUAAAUGUUUAUAAUAAUUUCGUUGGUUGUCUGCUUAAAUGUGGGCUGAAUAUCAAUACUAUUCUUUCUAAAUGUUAAGUUAUACUCGUUCUUUUUGGUUUUUUUUCUUCCGAGGAUUUGCUUUCGACUAUAGUUCUGUUUCUUUUGUGCGUGUGUUUGGAGGUCGGCAUUUGGUUUUAUGCCAGCCUAGUUUUACAUAUCUCUUUUCACUUUCAUGGAAACCUUUGAUGUUAUAGCUCUACUUGUCGGAUUAGGUUUAAAAAAAUGAAAUGCAUCUUUGUUCUUCUCAAAUUUGUUCCAUGUUUUCUUGGUUUUUUAAAAAAAAUGGUAUAGCUGAUUAAAAUAGCAUUAGUUUAGCUCGAGAUUUCCUUAAUACCGUGUUGCUAUUUAUUCUAUCUCGCAUCUUAUAACUCGAUAUUAUUUGUCUUGGGUUCUUUGUGGCUUUUAUUUCGAAAGUUUUGCCUUGCUAUCGUGUCAAUUUUCGUGCUUGUUGUUUGUAGCUGCUUGAGAAAAUAUGAAUGACCACUUUAUAAAAAAAAAAAAAAAAGGAGUUAGAAUCAACAAUGGGUUGCUGUUUGAAUAAUUGACCUUCAGCUUAUUUUGCUCAAAUGUUAAGUCACGUAUGUUCCCAAACACGGUUCGUAUACAAUGGUACACGUGAUGUGUAUACACAGAUUUCUUGAAGGAAAAUGGGGGGCAAAAGCCCAAGGAAAUUUCAGCAAGUCCAAGAUUUGGGCCUAAUUUGAUAUUCCUCUCCUUGCUCUUAUUUAUUUUGUUAUAUUUGACUAACGUUUUGAUUAUCUUAUGAUUUAAUCUAAUUAAAUUUUCCAAGAAUGGUCAUUUCAUUUUAUUUUUCGAAUUAAAGUAUAUAUAUUUUAUUACUUAGUUUUUAUUUUAAUAUUUGUCUUGUUGACAUUUUAUGAACUAUUUCCCUUUAGAAAAUUCUCCUUUAGUUCAUUCCCCCUUAAGAUAAAUAAAAUGAUAAAAAUAAUAGUAAUAAAUAAAUGAGUUCAUUUACUUAGCUAAAUUUUUUUUUAAAUAAGUUAAAAUAAAUGAGUUCUUUUACUUAGUUAAAAUUUCAAAAAUUAGUCAAAGUCGUUAUGAGCUCUUUUAUACUUAGUUAAAAUUUCAAAAGUUAGUCAAAGUCAUUUUUAGUCAAAUCGUCGGUCAACCGCAAGUUAGCGGACAUUUUGAGGGCCUAACACCUUCUCGGAAUGUACAUUGAACUCGAACCCUUUUUCAAUUGAUUUUAUCUGUUUGAGUAUUUUGAAAAUCUUAAGUUUUUUCUUGAGUUUUACUAAAAAAAUUAAGUGGCGACUCUAUUCUUUUGGAAAUCGAUUUCUCUUAAACUACAAGUUUAAUCGAUUUUUUCGAAAUCCUAGUCAUUUUUCUUUUAUAUAUAUUUUCGAGUAAAACACCUAACUGUAUAUAUAAUAAUGUAAGGUUUGUAUAUUGUUUAAUUCAUACUAUUGUAUAUAACUUACAAAAUAUACAAAUAUAUAUAUAUAAUACAAUUAUGAUUUAAGCAAAAAAUAUACAUAUACUUCAAGCAAUUUUGUAUAUAACUAACAAAAUAUACAAAUAUCUAAAUACAAUUGUGAUUUAAGCAGAAAAUAUACAUAUAUUUCAAACAAUUUUGUAUAUAACUAACAAAAUAUACAAAUAUCUACAUACAAUUGUGUUUUAAGCAAAUAUUUGAUGUUCUUGAUCUAAUGAAGGAGACACAACCUCCUCAGAAUCACUAUCUUUGGCUUUCCUCGUACUUCCUCCUUCAACAACUUUAAUGUCGCUUGCCUUAACAUUGUUGAUGACUUCUGGGAGUGCAAUUGGGUCAUUUUUUUUCUUGGAUCUCAAUUCUUCAAUAGAUUUUUCCUGUAGAAUUUGUUUAGAUUUUUCCAUAGACCCUGCAUUGACUCCAAAAUCUUGAGUUAAACCGAGUGAAAAUGAAGGUUGAUUAUUAAAAACUUUGACAUGCAAUGACGUACCUCUCGCAAUCCUCUUAGAUGGAGUCGAAUCAUCCAUUUUAUUUUUUGUAAAAAUGAUAUAUAAUAAGUAAUGAGGGAAUUUUGAGAAAAAAUUAUCCAAACACUAACAUGCACAAUACAUAUACAAUUGAAAAAUGAAAAAGAAAAAAAGAAAAGAGGUUCACCUACGAUUUAUGCGGUUACCUGCAAAAAGUAAAACACGAUUGGAGGGAGAAAGUGAAAUUCGAAUUUCAAAUUGAUUUUAGGAGAAAAACAGGAAAUGAGGAGAGGAGAGGAGAGGAGAGGAGAGGAGAGAUAAAUUUAAUUUUGUAUAAAAUCAUAUACAAAGACCGAUGAAGGCUUUGUUGAUUCGGUAUACAAAGUGGUGGUGGGUCUCAUUAUUAAUGGCGAAAAAACUGAAAUUGUAUUUACUAACAGUAAAUAAAUUAAAUUAUACCCUCAAUGACUAAUAGCCUAGUAAUAUUUGCCAACUCACUUAAUUUUUCCAUAAUGUGUGAGACUUUUUGAAAGAAAAAAAAAUUGUGCUAACUUGGUUAAAGUGAACAAUUAUCAUACUCUAUUUAGAAUAUCUUUGGGCUAAUUUAUCCGAACAAAAACAAAUAAGUCCCCAAUCUAAGACCAUUAGCCGUUACUUGAAGACAAGACAUUCAUCAUUUGAACUAUUGAAUUAUGGACACAAGUCAAAGAAUCUUCCAACUAUUCAAGAAGUGUAAUUAAUACUUAAUAAAUAUAAUGUCAUCCUCAAUAACUUCAAAUAAUAUCCAAUAAUCAAUAUUAAAUUUUGAUAUUAAUAGAAAUAGUUAAUGAACCCCAAGUUGUAUAAUUUGAUUGUUGGGAUAAAAGAUAAAAGUCAAUCAAAAAUUUAAUUUUUUUAAGAAAUAAUCUUUUAAUUGUGAUUCAAUAAUGUAAUAACACAAGCAAUUACAAUACAUAUAAAUUUGCCAUGUCAGCAUAUGGUGUUCAUGAGUGCGUGUAUGACAAUAGUAAAAGUAUCUAUUUGGUCUUUUAGAUAAAUUUCAGUAUCUAAAUUACAAUUUUUGUCAAAUUUGAGGGAUUAUCUAGAUAUUUAGAUAAAAUUAUUUAUAUAUAAUUAUCUCUAAAUAGGCUCAUAAGCCAGUAAAUGAUACUUUAUAAAUAACUUCAGUUGUAAGUGUUUCUCUUACAAAUUCAAAUUAAUCCAAUGACAAAACCUUUUUAUGAUUUGACUGAAGAGGUUUCUGUGUUGCUGGUAUAUCAAGAUGAGGAAUUGGUUUCUAGUAAAUCAAAUGGUUGAUUUACUAGAGUUCAAUGGAUACAAAGGUGAUAUAUCUAGAACUAAUUUCUAUAUGACUUUCAUUAUAUAGAGAGAGAAUUAAUUGAUACGAUGUUUAUUUAGAACUUUUCCUUUCCUUGUUAUCAUAACAUUAUUUCUAUGCUUGUGUAUGUUGUGUUACAAGUUAAUAAAUGAAUUUGUAUGAUUAUAAGGAAUUAAAUUAGAUUCUUCAUUUUUGUUUUUGUUGUAACCAUGUCACUGACUCGAUUAGCUUUCUCCAUAAGGAUUGUGUAAUUUUUCAAAGAGGUUCAAUAAUUUUAUGUUAAAGUAUGUGUUGUUCUAAUUUUAUCGGAUAUUUUUCCAUAAAGGAGAUAGUUUAAGUUUAUGUUAAUAUUAAUUAUUUCACACUUGACUUUUUUGUACAAAAAAUAAAAAGGAAACUUAUUCUUUGUCAAUCGGGCCUAGAGUGACAUCGUGUUGGAGGAGAAAAUAAUUAGGACCCUCAUAAAUAAUUUUGAAAUCAUAGAUCUUUGAUUUUUACAAAUCUAUAUAUUGUUUUAGAAAGAAAACACAUUCACUUGGAUGAUUGAGGCACAAAAUAAGAGUAAGAGAUUGAAGAGAAGAGCGAGAUAAAGACAUGAUAAGAGAUGAUUUGGCUAUCAUUAUUGUCUGAGAUGACUUUUUUUUGUCUUUUAUUCAAUGUAGACAAACAAAUAAAUAGGGACAUGUGAUUUUCAUGAUUUUUUUCUUCUAUUUUUUUUUUUUGUCUUUUAUUAGAUGUAGACAAGAAAAGAAAUUUUUUUCAUGUGACUUUUCCUCAUUUAUUUUUGUUUCAUUUUCAAUUACUUUGUUAGUAUUUAAUAUCGAUUGUUCCUUAUUCAAGCUAUGUUAAAUAUUUUUAACAUAAUUUUUUUGGUAACUCCUUUCUAAUAAUUUGUUAAAUCUUCUAAACUCUCGUUACUUAUUUAUGAAAUAAAAUUACCUUAAAACUUUUUACAUAAAUUUAUCUUAAAACUUUUUAUCCUAUUAUAUCUUGCUUUAAUAGUAUUUAAUCUAUAUAUAUAUUCAGUGUUUAUUUGUUUUCAACAAGUCAAAGAAUAAAUUAGAAUAUAUUCUUUAGAAUUAUAUUCCUAUAGAAUCUUCUCUAUUAUAUAUUCCUACAGUUAUUUACUGUAAAGUAAUAUUAUAUAUUAGUAAGAUUGCACACACCGUUUACGAUAUAAGUUGAUUAAUAUGUGUUAUUUCAUAAAUUAAAGUAUAGCAACAUAAUAUGAAAUUUCAUAAUUGAAUUUGAAUGAGAAAUUAAAUAAACAUAUCCAAAUGAUAAUUUUGUGUAUAAUAUUUUUUUCAUGUUCUUCACUAACUUUAAAGUGUAUGGAUAUAUACAGUUACGACAGCUACAACUCCUGCAGCAAUGUCAAUGCUCUCCAAAGAAAAGAAAAAAAUUGACAUGAUGAUAAUCGAUGUCAAUUCAUCAGAUUUACAUUGUUUUGAACUCUUGACACAAGCUGUAACCUUAAAUAUAAUCUCUCUUGGUAAGUAUUUAUAAUUCUAUUUUUCACUUCUUGUUAUAAAUAUUGGGUAAAAUCAGUUGUUUCAAUUAAUACACCACAAAAAUAUAAUUAGCUAUAAAAUUUAUCGUUAAUCUAUUGUCAAGAGACGACAUCUAUCCAUUGGUAAUCUUGUUUUUAGUUAUAGUUAUAUGAUAAAUGAUUGUUUCGUAACAAAGUUGUUGUCGUAACAGAUAAAAUUCAGUAAAUAUAUGUGUGAAAUUAACUAUUCUCAUAAUGUAUGAUAUAUUUUUAUUUUUAUUUUUAACUUCUCAAUAUAAUUAUGUAGUUGUAUGUGAUGAACUCAAUAGACUCUUAGCCAAGAACGCUUUGGAAAAUGGAGCUUAUUUUGCUUGAAAAAGCCAUUCAACAAGGAAAUUGUGAAAUACUUAUGGCAACUUGUAUUGAGAGAAAAAAUACAAAGGGAGAAAUCGAAAAAAGGUUUAGAAGCAAAUGGACGAAAUCAUAUGAAUGCUGAUGAAAUUUAUGAUAGUAAUAUUGUAAGAGAUGAACAAUUUGGAGAGAAGAAUAUGCAUGUUGAUACUGAGGAACAUAACAAUAAUAUCCAUAAGGCUGAAAAUGAUGGCGUAUCAACUGGUAAAUACAAGUUGAAGAGGAAGAGAGGGAGAAAAGGUAUAAAACAGAUUAAUGAAGGAGAAAGUCGUAGCAGUACUGUUAUUAAUAAGACUGGUACACGUAAAUGACUUGUAUCAUGCAUUUUAAACAUACAUAAAUGACAAUGAAUUUGAGAUAAUAAUUAUAUCCAUAGUCCAACUCUCCUUUGAGUUUUUCUUUCUUUCAGAAAUGUCGUGAAAACAAUUGGAGACCUCGAAAAGAGAGAAAGAAUAUUCAUCACGGAUCCUCAAGUGAUUCUCAACAAAGAAGUAGUUGUAACACAUCAUUAGAAAGAAAAAAAAGGAGCUGCAAAAAACUUGGAAAAAUGCCUCAUCUUCAAACAAAUAUACCAAAUCAAAUACAAAGAGUCUCAGAGUUCCCACCAGUUAAUACCAACAACAUUUUUGCUAUUUCAACUCAGCAGCAACUCCAUCACCCACAACUUCAGGCUCAACCUCACUGCCUAAACCCAUCUUUGUCAGCCCAAAAUGAUGUUGGUGGUCAACUACAACAACACAGUCUGUUAUUUGGAAUGCGGGUCCAAUUAUUGGAAGCACUCAAAAUGGUUAUGGCUUGGAUCUCAAUCCUACCCAUGUAACAACAUAUUCAGGUAGCACAAUGAUAACUAAUACAAAUGUUGGAAAUGUGACACUUAAUGGAUUGGGAGCUACAAAUGCUAAUUUUCAGCAAGAUAUUGGUGAACAAAACAUGUUUGAUCCAAGUUCUUGCUCUCGUAAUAUUUGUAUCUUAACUUAUCGAAUGCAUUUAUGUAUCUUCCUGUAUUGCAAAAGCUAUAAUUGGGAAAAUAUUUUCAUCUUUUGAUGAGAAAUUUCUUAACCUUUACUCAUUUCUUCGUUUCCUUAUUAUGUAUUGAAUGUUUAAGAUUGUAGUAUAUUAUUACAUACUUAAAUCUUGUUUAUGAAAUUUUUUAAUGAUUAAUGUUUGGAUUAUAAAUCUCUUGUUUUGCUUAUGUAUUGAAUGAUUUUUAUUUUUAAUGAAGUGAGUCAAAUUGUUUCUUUAAUUAUUCUUGUGUUUUAAUAUUUCUAAAAGGAGCGACUAAUCCUAGGACUUGCUCAGUUACUUUGAUUUGAGCUCGAGAGAGUGAAAAAAGAAUAAGAAGAGAGAUUGGAAAAGAUUAAUUAACAAAAAUUGUGGUACUAAUUUGGGUAUUAAUAAACAAAUCCUUACUUGAUCGCAUAUGUGUUGUUCUGUGUGAAAUUUGCCUCUGACUUAUAGUUGACUAAAUUAUAUUGCAUAUGUUCGUGUACAUUUUCUCACUUGGAAGAGUGGAUUUGGAUGUUAUUAACCAUCACCAUCGUUUAGGUAGAAAAAGAAAAUAACUAAUAGUUUAAUGUUUUAAUACAUAAAUGAUCAACUAAUAUGAGACGGAAAGAGUAGCGUAAAUGUAAGAUUCACUUCUCACCAAGAAUCCUCCUUUCUUAUUAUUUUCCUUUUAGAGGUUAAUAAUUAUUAUGUAUCCCUAGAAUAAUUUAUUGAAAUAGUAGAUUUGAAAGAAAGCAAUUAUUCUCUUCUUCCUAUGCGGGACUUUUAGAACAAAACUAAUUUGACAAAAACCACAAUUUAUUGAUUUUUAGGUGGAAUUAUAUCAAUAAGGAACUAUGCUUAUAAUAUUAAUCUAAGAUCAUUAGGGGUCGUUUGGUAGAGUGUAUGAGGUAAAAUAAUGCAUGCAUUAGGUGUGUGUAUUAGUAAUACCUUGUUUGGUACACUUUUUCAUGUCAUGUAUAACUAAUGCAAGCAUUAGUUAUACACUAUAUUGUGUAUUACUAAUACCAAGAAAUCCUAGAUAUUAGUAAUACAUAGCGUUUUAAUACUUGCAUUAGAUUAUACAAUUACAAAACUACCCUCAAAGCCUUUUAAAAAAACAUCUUCAUUUUCCAUGGUACUGUGUUUAGAAACCUUUCAUCUUCUAUGUGGCUGCUAACACUACAAGAAAAGUGUGAAUUACAUGAGGAUUUUCCUGGGGAUUAGUAUGAAAAUCCGUAGGAAACUUAUUUUUCUGCAAAUUUUCAUACUAAUCCCCAGGGAAAUCCCCAUGUAAUUCACAUUUUUCUUGUAGUGUAAACCUUUAAAAAAAAACAUCUCCGUUAUUUAUAAAUUUGAUUGUUGUAAUACUUUUUUGUAUUUCAAUUGCACUAAAAAAUAGGAUCUGUGGCUGCUAAAGCAUAUGCCCAGACUCCUAAUAUAUAUAAAGUGCAUAUACUGAUUUUAAUAGGGUACCGCUUUGCAGUUAGGAAUUAUCUCAGGUCUAUGCUGCCUGUAUCUCCCUUACAUUCCAUCAGUUUUUAUUUUUUAUUUUUGGACUCGUUUUAUCUCAAAAUAUAUAUAAAGCACUACUAAUGCAUGCAUUACUAACACACCCUAUUUUACAUUAUUCUUAUACACUCUGCCAAACGAUCCCUAUUGUUACUUGAACACAUGGAUUCAUCAUCUGAACAAUUGAAACAAUUAAUACUUGUGUGAACCUCUUGUUAUUUCGAGUGAUGUGUCAGAAUCUUUAGCCAACUAAGACUAGCGUUAAAUUUUUGGCAAGUCUCAAGAAGUGUAAUUAAUACUUAAUAAAAUAAUCUCAUCCUUGAGAUUCAAGAACUUGUUUGGUCUGAAUAGGUUUUAAUCAUUAAGAUCUAGAACAAAGUCUUAAUAUUAGUAAGAGGUAUUUUUGUGUGAAUAGUUUUCUUUGAGGUUCGAGAAAUGGAAUAGAUAUGGACUACAAGUUGAUAUUCGCCAUUAGGAAAUUCACACGAAAAGGAACGAGGAAUUCUCAAUGAAAAAAGCGCUCUCUAAAUCUGUUUAGUAUUUGCCAUGAGGUUCUUACCAUAAUUGAAUUUUCCUUUUAGGAAAAGGUAAACACAGUCUCCAUAUUUGUCUAGUUCUUUUUCUUGUACGAAAAAAAUUAUGACUCUAUAAAUAGAUGUUUAUUCAUUCUAGCUUGGUAGCAUUCAUAAUGUAGUCUUAGGGGGCUUUGAGAGUUUUGUGUAUUGUGUGAAGCUAGGGGAAGAAUGUGUGAGACACAAGUAUUACUUUAACACUUGUGUGAACCUCUUUGUAUUCCGAGUGAAUUGUGUGAGGUCAUUCUUCUCUAGAUUUUGAACUUUCUUUUAUAUAGUGAUUUUUUCAUCUCCUCUUGUGGAUGUAGACCGGUUGACCGAACCACGAUAAAUGUUUGUGUCUUUUUGUAUAUUUCUCGUUUGUCUUAUUACUCAUCGUCUUUCGAGGUUUGCUUUGCUAACUUUUGCAUGACACCUAAUUAUUUCAGUCCCAACAAGUGAUAUCAGAGUCAAGUUCAAUGGUUUAAUGAUCCAAUGGUUGAACCAGGUCAAAAAUAAGUGUUCAUCUUGACGGGUUUAGUUCUACCAUAACAUAUUUGAUAGUAAUGAAGAUUUUUGUUGGAGAAAUAUUUUCAAAGAUGUUUUUUGUGUUGAGAUAUAUAUAUAUAUAUAGAGAGAGAGAGAGAGAGAGAGAGAGAGAGAGAGAGAGAGAGAGGGAGAUAUUUUGCAGAGGAGAUGCAUAGUUAUUGAAGAUUAUGUGAAGAAGGUGGAACAAAUUUAUUUUGUCAGAAAUUUAGGCCAAUGGAGAUAUUUGUUUAGUAUUUGUCAUGAGUUUCUUACCAUAAUUGAGUUUUUUUCUUUUAGAAAAAGGAAAACACAAAGUUUCCAUAUUUGGCUAGUUCUUUUUCUUGUAGGAAAAUGUUUAUGACUCUAAAAUUAUAUGUGUAUUCCUUCUAGCCUAAUAGCAUUCACAAUGUAGUCCUAGGGGGCUUAGAGAGUUUUGUGUAUUGCGUGUAGCUAGGGGAGAAUGUGUGAGACACAAGUGUUACUUUAACACUUCCGUAAACCUCUUUGUUUUUACAUUGAAUUGUGUGGGGUUAUUCCUCUCUAUAUUUUGUACUUUCUUUUAUAUAGUGAAUUGCUCAUAUCCUCUUUUGGAUGUAGGUCGGUUGUUCAAACGACGUUAAAUAUUUGUGUCUUUUGGUAUAUUUUUUGUUUGUUUUAUUACUCACAGUCUUUCAAAGUUUGCUUUGCUAGCUUUUGCAUGAUACCUAAUUAUUUCAGUCCCAACAAAACCAAACGUGAAAGUUGUUUUCCAGCAGGCAACUUUUCUAGUAGCUCUACUCUCGACUUGGAUAAUAUAUCCAAAAAGGUACGCUUUCGGUCAUUCCACAUGCUGCCUAUGUAGAGACAUGUUUAUCUAAAGUGGAUUCUCUUUUUUGCAGUAGGUAUUGAACCUGUUAUGCCCAUUGACUAAGAAGCUAGGGGUGGACACAACAACUACAUGGACCUCUUCCUUUCAUUGGCCAUCACCAUUAGUCGUCUUUGUUAUCACAAUGACCACCACCAUUACCGUCAUCAAAUAUCUCUGUCAUCACAAUUACCAUUCUUAUCAACCACUACUAUAUAUCAAGCAUUUGCUAUAUUUAUGUUUUUUAUCGACAUAAACAAUGGGUUAACAUGAUAUAAUUUAUUAGUAGUUUUAUAUAUUUUUCCCAUAAUAAAGGAAACAAUCACUUAUACAUUCUUUGAGAUCAUUUAGUGUAAAAUCAGGAGUGGAAUCAUAACUAGGGUUAUAGCUUAGGAUCAAUUCACCUUCUUAAUUAAUGGGAUAAUUUACUUAGCUAAAUUUGAGUGAAAAGAAGAAGAAAUUAAUUAAUUUAAUUCGUUUACGUUCCAAUGGGGUGUGCAAUACCCAUAAAUUUGUCAUGUCGUUAUUAGGUGUUCAUGAGAUGCAUAUAUUUCAAGCAAAAGUGUCUAUCUGAUUACUAGACAAGUUUAGCCGUCCAAUUUACAAAUUCUGCCAAAUUUGAGGGACUAUCUAGAUAUUAUUAAGAAAAUCUAUCUUAUUUAAUAUAAUAUUUAAAAUAGAUAACUUUGUAAUUAGUGUUCGCUAGAUCUUCAUAUUUUCUCCAACCAUUAUAAAUUCUCAGUGCUCUCUCUAUAUAAAUUCAUCAGGAUAAAAAUAAACAAGACAAGAUAUCAUACAUAAAAAAUAUCCAAAAGAGUUUUCUUUAAAUAUGUGUAAUCUUUUUUAAAUAGCAUAUCCCUUAAGAAGCUAUGUAGUUUUAUCACAAUGUCCUUCUUUAAUUGUUUUUCUUUAAUUAAUAAAAAGGUGUGUUAUAUAUAUCUUCAAUUGAUGAUAAGCCCACUUAUAUACAAAUAAAGUAAUGCAAGUGAAACUCUGUAAAGAAUCCUAUGAAGGUUCUAGCAGAGAAAUUAUAUUUAAAAAGGAGGGUAAUAGCUAAUGUGAAACAAUUAGGGUUGUAAAAUAAAAAAUAAAUCAAAAUAAUAAUAAUUAGGGUUGCAAAGCAACACCCUCUAUUAUUGAAGUUGAAGUUGUAAUUCGUAGGAUUAUUAUAUAAUUGUAAUAAUGCCUAGCUUUUUGUAACAAGAAGAGAAGUGUAUCAUCAUUUGGAGAGUUGUUAGAACAAUUAUAGUUAACAUUUGAGUUAAAGUACUAAAAUUAAUCUCUUAAAUUAUAAAGGUGUAAUUUGAAAUCAUUCGUUGAAGUUAGUAUAGAUUGAUUGAUAAGGAGUUGUUUAUAGUCUUUUGAGCAAAGAUAUUUUCAUUGUAAGCCCUUUCUUACUUAAUUAGCACUCCUUCGUUACUUUUUACUUAGUAGGACAUACGAAUUGAGGUUAGCUUAUCGCAAUCUAGUAUAUACAUUCAAUUAUUAGAAAAUAAAAUAAUAAUAAUAAAAUUAUUAUUAAAUUUAAGUUUUACUGUCUGGAUUUAUCAUGACACAUAUAAUGUCCACUUGGGCAAAUUUAUUAUUUAAAACACAAUAAUAAUAAUAUAUUCAAUGUAAUUUCAUAAUUGACAUUUGAGAAGAAAAAAUAUAUAUGCUAACCCUUGAUUAAAAAAUUAAAAUUAACCAACCAAAACUAAAAUAAAUAUUUAUAUAAGGUUGUGUAGUGAGAACAAUUAGAUAUACUGGUUUUAAUUCAACUAUGCAUUAAAAAGAACAAUAAGUUGCUGUGGUGUAGUGGUUAUCACGUUAGUCUUACACACUAAAGGUCCCCAGUUCGAUCCUGGGCAGCAACAUAUAUGUAAAAAGUUUUACUUUUUUUUUGAUAUGUCGACGAAAACGUGUUUAUCCUUUUAUUUGUCGGCGGCAUGUCGACGAAAACGUGUUUCUCCUCUUUAUUGUUUUCACCAUGACCUCUUCACUACUAUAUUUACAUUACAUGCUUGUUCUAUCGGAAACAACUCUACCUUCACAAGGUAGGGUAAGACUGCAUAAACGUCACCCUCCCCAUAGUACGUAAAAAGAAUAUGAGACAGCUGCAGGAUCAUGGAAAGAUCAAAUUUUCUCUUUAUUUCAUUAUUGCAAUUACUCCAUGUCAAAAUCCAAAUACAUUCUAUAGGCAUUUCUAUCUGAAGAGUAAUAGCCCUCCACAAGAGUAUCCACUUGGAAACCGAGUUUCUUGUAUAGCUGCAUAGCUGCAGUCCUUGUAGGAUCUACAUGAAGCGAUAUCCGAUGAACGUUUCUUGUUCUGCAUUUCUGCACUGCUGCCUCCAGUAAUUUUUCUCCAUGGCCUUGUCCCCUGUAGUUCUCUUUCACUGAUGUAUUCCACAGGAACGAUGCAUCAGUAAACAAAACGAAAAAUUUUAAAUGACAAAAGAUAAGGAAUAUUGUAAAUGAAUCUCUUAACCCCUCGUUUUUCAACUUGUGUUGAUUCGCUCAGGCCAGAGAACAACAAGAGAGAGACAGGCAUAAACAUCACGAUGAAAAACUCAUAACCACAUAGAGAACGAAAGCAAUUCUUUUGAAAAAUAAACAUCACAUGAAAGAUGGUUCUCUCUUCUAUGUAAUGACGGACAAUGCUUCACUGACUUAUCGGGAAUAUUUACUAAUAAUAUCAAUUCACCUUCUGCCUUUCCCUAUUGCGAUUCAAUAUGAUGACGAUCAGAGAAAGAUAUAACUAAACUCUCCUGCAAAAUUCCUUUAAAACAACUGCUAGCUAUUUCAAGGUUCGUUGUUUCCGCAAUAGUAACAUAUCAGCUUUGCUCGGAGGGGAAAACUACAUAACACCACUCUAAUUUAGAAAUGCUGCACUUUCAUCCAAUCCAGCUACAGAGAAAAACGUUGAAAGAGCAGAAGCAAUUUCUCCUACCUCUCUAUUCAUAGAGAUCAAAACUUGUUCGGCAAAUGCAUUCAUGCAUAUUCUUCUUUAAAAGACAACUUUUUGUAGAUGAACUGCUCCCAAAUAAGUAUUUUUAUCUUUUGAAUGCUCAAGUUAUAGUCACAUUCACACUCUUGACUGCUCUUUUUCCUACGAAAACAUUAUCAAAGAGUCACAUUUGAGUUCCUCACGAUUAUAACCUCGUAUAUUAAAUCAAAUUGGUCCUAGUCACAUUCGGAAAUAGUCUCUCUACUUUCACAACUAGGGAUAAGACCGCGUACAGACUAACCUCUCCAAACCCCACUUGUCUACGCGGUCCUAGUCACACUCACAUUGGGAAAUUGUCUCUCUACUUUCACAGGUAGGGAUAAGACUGCGUACACACUACCCUCUCCAGACCCCACUUGUCUACACAGUCCUAGUCACACUCACAUUGGGAAAUAGUCUCUCUACUUUCACAGGUAGGGAUAAGACUGCGUACACACUACCCUCUCCAGACCUUACUUGUCUACGCAGUCCUAAUCACACUCACAUUGGGAAAUAGUCUCUCUACUUUCACAGGUAGGGAUGGAUAAGACUGCCUACACACUAUCCUCUCUCCAAACCCGACUUAUCUACACAGAGUAUGUUGUUGUUCCAAUAAACAAUAUUAGAUAUCAGCUUAGACUUCAAUCCAAGAAUACAACUACAAUAAUCAGAAUAAAUUCAAGAAUAAGACCAAUUAUUAAAAGGAAAAUCAAAGCAAAACAGAAAAUUAUGAAAAGGGUAUUUUUUGUUCAGACCUGCUAAUUUAGUGAUACAAGCAGAGAGUGAAGAAGGCCAAGAAUACAUAACAUAACCAGCAAUAUCUUCACCUAAUUGAGUGUAGAGUAACCCAGAAUUCUUCUUUUUCAGUUCCUCAUCAAAAGAUCGAGCUAAAGAUUCAUGUUUGGGGAAAAUCUUCUUCUCUAUUCUCACUAUAUCGUCAACUACCUUAACCCAAUUUGCUGAAUUUCUCUGCAAUUCAACUAUCUCUGCCAUUUCUUCGUUUUCAUAUUUCUCUGUUUUUGCUGCUGUAUUUAGGUUAACAAGAAUCUACUGGGGUCAUUAUUGGAAAGAAAAAUAGUUCCUCUGUUAUUUUAAAAGUUUUUACUUUAUUUUUUUUAACUAUAAAGUUCUUAUAUAUUUUUAACGUUUUAAUUAUUAGAAACUAUUAUGUACAUUGUUUUUAUUUUACAUGGUUUAUUAAUAUAUAUAGUAUAAAUUUGCAUUCAUGUAUUAAUUAACUUAUCAAUUAAUCAAUAGUAAAAAUUCUCUCUGAUUUUCUGAUUAUUUAUGGCCAGUUUUUUUUUGUAUGUGUGCGUCUCUAAGCUCGUAAGUGAAAGUAAAUCAAUUUUUUAAUUGUUAAUUUAUGCCCAACUUCUUUAUGUAUGUGUGCGUUUCUAAGCUCGUAAGUGAAAGUAAAUCGAGUCUCACGAUAUCAUCUGUCUUUGUCAUACUCGUCUGGUUGAACAAGGACUAAUACUAGUUGUUGAGCAAAAUUAAUUUAUAAAUACUCUUAACAAGGUGUGAUAUUAUUUGUUUUGGGUAAAGUCUUUGUAAGGCUUCACACUAUUAAGAGAUUCUACACUUUAUAUGUAAUUUUUCAAUCUUUUCAGCUAUCAAUGUGGGAUUUUAUUUACCCAACUAACAAUUUUGUUAUUUGUUCUUACAUUUUGGUGUUAGCUUUGGCCUUUGUGUACUCCAUCAUAGGUUGAGGAAAGGGAUCAUAUAUAAUUGGAAAAAUACAAAUCAGAAUGGUAUUUUUGUUAGUAAUCCAAGGGAUUGGUUUACUUUUGGACAUGUUAUUUUUUUGGUUCUACUUAAGGUUAGUAAGGUCAUUUCAAUAUUAUUUUCUUCCUACUUCAAUCAACAGCAACUUCUAUUUUUCCUUAUAUGACAACGCAAUUCAAUCUAGCUACGUUGUUAUGUUAACCAACCCCAAAAACAGGACACCAUAUCUAGAUUGAUAAGCUUAAGUAAGUUUCGAUAUGACUCAUUUAUACUUCAAUUAAUCUAAAGUAAAACUUAUCCAUAUGUAUGAUCCAGCCAAAUUAUUUUAUCAAUAUAAUCGAAAUAUUAAAAACAUAUUUAGUAAUUAUGGAUAUCAUAGGUAUAGAUAUGUAUAUAUAUUAUACUAAAAUAUACAAAACCUAUACAAUUAUGACUAUUUGUAAAUUAGAUUAAUCAAAGACAUUGAACUGUAAUUAUUCCAAUCUAUACUUUAAACCCUUUUCACUUCAAAGCACUAUCCCAAUUCUAAACAGUUUGAGACAUGGUAAAAAAAAAUAAUUGAUUUUUUUUUUUUUAAGAUGGGGUGUAGUUAGGUGGAAUUUUCUUGGUUUUGUUCAAAUAAGUCUGCCUUUUGAAGCAUAGGCAUACUUGUUUCAUCUUUAUAUAUAUAUAUAUAAUAAUGAUGUUCUGGAUAACUUUUACACCUUAACUUGAUUAAUUAUGUGAGAUAUCUGUCAUUUUUCAUAGCAAUAUUAUAUUUAACUAUAUUCGCCCAAACUAAAACAGGUAGAAAUAACAUUUGAAUCUGUCAAACUGCAAUAAUGAAUUAUAUAUGGUGGAAGAUUCUUUGGGGCCCAACUGGCCCCACAGCUAAUAUUUUAACGGACGUCCAUGAAAAGUUUUAACAAAAUCACGUCGAAAUUCUAGAUCACCAAAAAUUCAUGGACUAUAUAGCACACGAUAAUCAGCAAAAUGGGGGGGGGGGUUACUUGCUCAAGGGCUCGUCUGACCUUGAAAAUGGGCUGGUUUGCCCGUGGGGACCAAUUGGCUCUAUAACUAAGGUCUUAACGGACGUCCAUGAAAAGUUAUUGCAAAAAAUCACGUUGGAGUUCCAUAUCACCAAAAAUCCAUGGACUAUAGCACAUGAAAAUUGGCAAAAUAAAGGGUUUACCUACUCUGGGCUCGUUUGACCUUGAAAAUGGGUUGGUUUGCCCGUGGGAACCAGCCGGCUCCAUAGCUAAGGUUUUAACGGAAAACCAUGAAAUUUUUUGGCAAAAGUCACGUCGGAAUUGCGGAUCACCAAAAAUCCAUGGACUAUAGUACACGAAAAUCGGCAAAAUGGGGGGGUUUACCUACUCUGGGGAUUGUUUGACCUUGAAAAUUUCCCGAUUUGCCCGUGUGGACCAACUGGCACCACAGCUAAGGUUUUAAUGGACGACCAUGAAAUUUUUUGGCAAAAGUCACGUCGGAAUUGCGGAUCACCAAAAGUUCAUGGACUAUAGUACACGAAAAUUGACAAAAUAGGGGGUUUACCUACUCUGGGGAUCGUUUGACCUUGAAAAUUGUCCGGUUUGCCCGUGUGGACCAACUGGCUCUAUAGCUAAGGUCUUAACGGACGUAUACAGAAAAUUUUGGCAAAAAUCACGUCAAAAUUUCGGAUCACCAAAAAUGCAUGGUCUAUAACACACGAAAAUCGGUAAAAUGAGGGUUUACCUGCUCUGGGGAUCAUUUGACCUUGAAAAUGGGUCGGUUUACUCGUGGGGACCAACUGGCUCUAUGCUAAGGUCUUAACGGACGUCUAUGAAAUUUUUUAGCAAAAAUCACGUCGAAAUUUCGGAUCACCAAAAUCCUAUGGACUAUAGCACACAAAAAUCGGCAAAAUAGGGGGUUUACCUGCUCUAGGCUCGUUUGACCUUGAAAAUGGGCCGAUUUUCCCGUGGGGACCAACUGGCUCCAUAGCUAAGGACUUCACGGACGUCCUUGACAAAUUUUGGCAAAAAUCACGUCGGAAUUCCGUAUCACCAAAAAUUUACGGACCAUAGCACACGAAAAUAGGCAAAAUGGGGGGUUUACCUGCUCUGGGCUCAUUUGACCUUGAAAAUGGGCCGGUUUGCUCGUGGGGACCAACUGGCUGCAUAGCUAAGGUCUUAACGGAUGUCCAUGAAAAUUUUUGGUAAAAAUCACGUAGGAAUUCCGGAUCACAAAAAAUCCAUGGAUUAUAGCACAUGAAAAUCGGCAAAAUGGGGGGUUUUACCUGCUCUGGGGUUCAUUUAACCUUGAAAAUGGGCCAAUUUUCCCGUGGGGACCAACUGGCUCUAUAGGUAAGGCUUAAUGGACGUCCAUGAAUUUUUUUUGUAAAAAUCAUGUCAAAAUUCUGUAUCUCCAAAAAUCCAUGGACUAUAGCACACAAAAAUCAGCAAAAUGGGCGGUUUACCUGCUCUGGGAAUCGUUUGAACUUGAAAAUGGGCCGGUUUACCCAUGGGGAUCAACUGUCUUCAUAGCUAAGGUCUUAACGGACGUCUUUAAAAAUUUUGGCAAAAUUACGUCGAAAUUCCAGAUCAUCAAAAAUCCAUGGAUUAUAGCACAAGAAAAUGGGUAAAAUGGGUUGGUUUGCCCGUGGGGACCAACUGGCUCCAUAGCUAAGGUCUUAACGGACGUCCAUGAAAUUUUUUAGAAAAAAUCAUGUCGAAAUUCUGGAUCACCAAAAAUUGAUGGACUAGCACACAAAAAUUGGCAAAAUGGGGGGUUUACCUACUCUGGGGAUCGUUUGACCUUGUAACUGGGCCAAUUUUCCUGUGGGACCAACUGGCUCCAUAACUAAGGUCUUAACGGACGUCCAUGGAAAUUUUUGGAAAAAAUCACAUCAGAAUUCCGGAUCACCAAAAAUUCAUGGAUUAUAGCUCACGAAAAUUGGCAAAAUGGGGGGUUUACCUGCUCUUGGGCUCAUUUGACGUUGAAAAUGAGCCGGUUUGCUCGUGGGGACCAACUGGCUCCAUAGCUAAGGUCUUAACGGACGUCCAUAAAUUUUUUUGGCAAAAAUCACGUCGGAAUUCCGGAUCACAUUCAUGACUAUUUGUAAAUUAGAUUGAUCAAAGACAUUGAACUGUAAUUAUUCCAAUCUAUUCUUUAAACCUUUUUCACUUCAAAGUACUAUCCCAAUUCUAAACAGGUUGAGACCUAGUAAAAAAAAUGAUUUUUUUUAAAGAUGGGGUGUAGUUAGGUGGAAUUUUCUUGGUUUUGUUCAAAUAAGUCUGCCUUUUGAAGCAUCGGCUAUUCUUGUUUCAUCUUUAUUUUAUUUUUCAUAAUAAUGGUGUUCUGGAUAACUUUCACACCUUGACUUGAUUAAUUAUGUGAGAUAUUUAUCUGAUCAUUUUUCAUCAGCAAUAUUUAACUAUAUUCGCCUAAACUAAAACAGGUAGAAAUAACAUUUGAAUCUGUCAAACUUCAAUAAUGAAUUAUAUAUGGUAGAAGAUUCUUUGGGGCCAUUAUGCAAUGAUAGUGGAACAUGAGAAUAUUUUUAUGAUUGGUAAAAAUAUCAUGGGAAUGGCGAAAAACUAGCUUUGAUAAGAAGAAUAUGAUGCUUUAUAACAUUAUCAAGGGAACAAAAGUCAUUUUUAUAUAUUUGAAGAAAAGAAAGUUUUCACAUUACAAUAAUUGGGAUGCCUAUAAAUGUGUGGUUCAAAAUGAUAGUGACAAGCCACAUAUUAUAUUGAAGCAUUAAUUAAUCAUAGUAAAGAAAGUUCAAUGUUAUUAUUAGGGGCAAUUUGUGCAAAGUAGAUAUGACCUAAGUUGCUUGAACGCAAAGGUAAUGUUAUAAUGUUUGUGAAAAAUUGAUAGAUCAUUAAAUCAUUAAACCUAUUACCUAUAUAAGAUUUAGUGCUAAUUACAAUCAUUUCUAUGUAGUGUAAGUGAUGUUGGAUUAGGUGGAUAUCAACUUAUCAAAGUGGACACCAAAUUUUUUAAAUUGCUUUCUCUAGUGUUACACUAACUUUAAUAAGUGGAAAUCCUUAGACAAUUGUUGAAGAUAUCUAUCAUAUUUGAUCAAAUAAAACAUAAGUUAUCAAUCAUAGAAUCAGAUAUAUACCUUUAAAUUCACGGGAGCGUUUGACUAUGUUUCAUUGUGAAAUUUGAUUUUUCUUUUCAAGUAAAAAAAGAUAAAUUGAAAUUAGAUAUUGUUAUCAACUUGUAUACCACUAGUUCGAAAGGCAUAAUUUCUUAAACUGACAUUCAAACUUAGCCUCCACUUACAAGUAAUUACUUCAACUUUUUCAUUAUGUAUGCAUAUUUAGACACCUUAUAAACUCGACUCAUUUCCACUAUACCAGCUAAACUCUCCAACAUAUGUACAAAAUAAUCAUCUAGUCACCUUCAAAAUUUAUUCAUUACAUCAGCAUCGAAUGUAAUGAGAUACAGAGACGAGUUGAGUAUUUAGUAGACCGUUGAAACCAAGUUGAGGUGUCCAUACCUAUACAACAAUUAUCACAGGUGACAUGCUUUCAAAUAAUUUUGAAGUAUUAAAAAUAGAUGAUUUAUUAAAAUAAGAUAUUUCUCACCAUAAGCAAUUUUCAAUUCUUUCGCAUCAAACGCACCCAUAUUUAGAAUGUUCUAUACUAUCACUCUCCAUAGACGGCAGCCAUCAUGUCAAUCACCACCCACCAGCACUUGCUGUUGUUAACCUUGCCAAAUAGAUAAUGACAAGUUGGCAUAUGAGAUAGGUGGUCUACGCCUAUCAACAUGAGUUGUGGUGCAAUGGUGGAAUUGCUCAAUCCUUAAUUAGAAAUUUCAGGUUUGAGUCUUGGGUAUGAAGAAAAUUCUAUUGGAAGCGUCACUCUCAAAUGAGUCCUGUGCUGUACAAUUCAGAUUUAAUUAAGGCUUUAAUGCAGACUCCGAACAGUGAGCGUGAGAAAAAAAGAGAGGUGGCCUAUGCCUAUUUCUCUUUGAGAUGUUGAUGCCUUGAUUUUGAAUGUCUUGUUUUUCAAUCCUCGUGCUUAUAUCUUUGAAUAUUCAUUACUUUCUCUAGAUGUGAAAACUACUCUUUCCGUUUCAAUUUGAAUAUUCAGAUUAUAAAGAAUAUUUUUUUUAUAUUUUACGUAACUUUAAUCGAAUACCAUAUAAUUUAAAAGUUCGUUUUACUUUUUUAAAUCAAAAUCAAAUAAAUAAAUUAAAACGAAAGGAGUGAUGGCUGAGAUGUCCUGUAAAAUGGUAUUGGUCUCUUUAGUGGGAUUUUGUUAUUUUGAUUUUAAAUUGACACAAGAAGCUAAACAAGCUUUGUCUUCUUAAUGAUUGGAUUUGAUUCAUCUUUUCAAUUUCAAUUGAGUCUGUCUCAAAAUUCAUAAUGUUAACUAUAUAAAUCCAGGUGAUCAUAUAUUACAUUGAUCUAAGAUGUAUAUUCAUAUCAUAUAUCGCGUUACUAAAUAUAAUUACAUUGUAUGAACACGCGAAGAAGAUGAUCAGAACAAGAGAAGACAUGUUACUAAACAACAACAUAAGAAAAAACAAAUUCUGUUAAGUGAUUGAUCCGCGUGUGAUAGUUGUCUUCUUAACCUUGGACUAUUGCUUCCUGCUAGAUUAUAUGAACUUGAAUAUGUAUACAAAUUAGUAUUCAAUGAGUUCCCAAACAUUCGCGCAUAAAAAAUUUCCCCUGUUGUCGUUCCACCAGGACUUAGCAUAUGUUCUGUAUUUGUAUAAUUUCGAUGAUGAUCAUGAGAUUGUUGGUAUAAUGGAGGCAUAUUAUUAUUGGGUAUUACUCCGUGACUCCUACAUCUCGGAGUAGGAGGUCUUUGUGGUAUGACUAUACCAAGAUUCAGGGCCUUGCCUGCUGUUUUUGUAGCUUGACCGCGACCAUAGAGUGGAAUCAAUGUUUUUUGUGAGACUUCAGCUUUGCAAACAGGGCAUUUUGGCUGUUGAUUAUCGAUGUUCUCUGAUGAAAUGGUCUUAAUAUGUAUCCAUUUGUAGAUGCAAGGCCAACAAUAGAGGUGACCACAUAAUGUAACAACAGGAUCAUGUACAACAUCCAGGCAAAUGUUGCACUCGAAACCUCCAGGUGAAUUUUCUUCAAGUUUAUCAAGAUCAAUUGUCUUACAUUUUUCAAAGGAAAUAUCGCGUUGAUCAAAAAUAGUUUCUGGUAUUUGGUCUUGAAAAAUUUGUUCUAAGGCCAUAUUUGCUUCUUGGUAUUGAUUUAUUUUGGUAAUGGCAAGAUGAAUGGUUAGAAUUCAGGUUUUUAAUACAAUUAGAAGUGAGUAUUUAUAAGGACAAGAAUAGUAGUUUGCAAACAAUGAUUCUUAAGGUUGUCACUUGUCAACAUCACAUCAUGUUAAAGGGGCAUGGCCAAAAAGAAAAGGCCCUACACAUUAUUAAACAACACUAUAUCAUAUUACUCAACUCAGUUUUGAUUUAUGGGUACUGUUUGAUUUGAUAUAACAUUUAAUAAGAAAAUGAAAACUUUUAAAAUAUGUACUGUAUUAAAGAUAAAAAAUAAAUUUUAAAUUUUUAGAUCCUAGAAAUGAUAUUCUUUUUAUAUUAAGACUACAACAAAUGUCUUACAUAAAUUAAGACAGGUGAACUAUCAAACACAUCAUAAUUAAGUGAUUUAAUGAAGUCAAAAAUAAAUAUUAAUGGAUCAUGGUUAAGUGAGAGGAGUUUUGUGCAAACACGUCUUUUAUCUAUCUAUUUGAUUUAAACAAGCAUAAGUUUUAUCAUAUUAGAAAUAUGAUUAGGACCUUAUAUUAGGCCCCAUGAUAAGAAUCUUAAUCUAGAAAAUAACUUUUAGUCAAUAAAAAGUAGCACUAGUUGCGUACAAGGAGCUACCACUUGAUGACCUUCCACACAGCCACAUCCCAUAAGUUCAAUAGUUUUCACACUAUAAGAACUAGAUGUUUUUUUCCGAGUGAAUCAAUAAAAAUUUUAUGUUAUAAAACAUGAUUUUUUUCAUUUUGAUUUUAUUAAACUAAUUCACUAAGAAAACCCAUAACGAAACAUAAGUUCUCAUUGAAAUACUGGAAAUAGUCACUUGGAAAUUUAUGAGUUUUAGGAAAUUAUGCAUCAAAACUUAGAAAGACGCGGCUCAUAUAGAAAUUUGUUGUUAAAUCAUAAUAUAUACUUUUACAUCUGAAUAUCUUUAUUGAUUUGGUUAAAAUUAUAAUUAAAAAAAUUACAAUACAAUAUAUAUAGAUUCACAUAAAUUUAAUACUGUAAGUUCAAUUAUUAUUAUGAUAUAUUAAUCUAAAAUUAUUAUAGAAGCUUCUAAACUCUAAAUUCAGAUCCAACUAAGGAGUGAAUAUACAUAGUGGGGGUCUGGGGGAUGGGAGAAAACAUAUGGACGGUGUGACAAAUAAAUAAAAGAAAUACUCCGUCCAUUCCAUUUGACUUAGUAUUGUUUGACUUAAUACGAUGUAUAAGAGAAAAAAAAGAUUUUAGAAAAUUAUAGGCUAAAACAAUUUUUAUAUAUUUAUAUAAUUGUAAAUCAUUUCAUUAAUUAAGGGUAGAUGGAGAAUUUUAAGUUUAAUUAUUUUCAAUUACAAUAAAAUGACAUUUUUAAAGACGGAUUAUGAGAAUAGAGUGCCACGUAAUAUAAAACGAGAAAAUACUACUCCCUCCUUCCCAUUUUAUAUGUUACCUUUUUACUUUACAUUUACAUUAAGAAAUAAUGUAACUUUACCCUUCUACCCUUAUUUAAUGUUUUCUUAAGUUAACUUUAUAACUCCCUCCGUCCCAUUUUAUAUGUCAUCUCUUUCUAUAAAUAGUUGGACCACAAUACUUGUCAUUUUAUAAAAUUUAUGUAUAAAUUACCAUAUUUUACCUAUUAUAUCCUUGAUAGAGUAGUUAAUUAAUCUUGAAAAUAUAUUCAUCAUUUAUUAUAAAUUGACUUAAGAAAAUAUUAAAUAAGAAUAGAAAGAUAAAAUUACAUCAUUCUUCAACAAGUGGUAUCAGAGCCAGGUUAAUAAGAGCGAGGUAGUAACUCAAAAGAGAUCCUACAAGCUACCGUCGGAGGCUACAAAUCGCGAGGCACUAAUUAAUGAUGGAUUUUGCAAGCACUCUCAAUAGCGUUGAGANNNNNNNNNNNNNNNNNNNNNNNNNNNNNNNNNNNNNNNNNNNNNNNNNNNNNNNNNNNNNNNNNNNNNNNNNNNNNNNNNNNNNNNNNNNNNNNNNNNNNNNNNNNNNNNNNNNNNNNNNNNNNNNNNNNNNNNNNNNNNNNNNNNNNNNNNNNNNNNNNNNNNNNNNNNNNNNNNNNNNNNNNNNNNNNNNNNNNNNNNNNNNNNNNNNNNNNNNNNNNNNNNNNNNNNNNNNNNNNNNNNNNNNNNNNNNNNNNNNNNNNNNNNNNNNNNNNNNNNNNNNNNNNNNNNNNNNNNNNNNNNNNNNNNNNNNNNNNNNNNNNNNNNNNNNNNNNNNNNNNNNNNNNNNNNNNNNNNNNNNNNNNNNNNNNNNNNNNNNNNNNNNNNNNNNNNNNNNNNNNNNNNNNNNNNNNNNNNNNNNNNNNNNNNNNNNNNNNNNNNNNNNNNNNNNNNNNNNNNNNNNNNNNNNNNNNNNNNNNNNNNNNNNNNNNNNNNNNNNNNNNNNNNNNNNNNNNNNNNNNNNNNNNNNNNNNNNNNNNNNNNNNNNNNNNNNNNNNNNNNNNNNNNNNNNNNNNNNNNNNNNNNNNNNNNNNNNNNNNNNNNNNNNNNNNNNNNNNNNNNNNNNNNNNNNNNNNNNNNNNNNNNNNNNNNNNNNNNNNNNNNNNNNNNNNNNNNNNNNNNNNNNNNNNNNNNNNNNNNNNNNNNNNNNNNNNNNNNNNNNNNNNNNNNNNNNNNNNNNNNNNNNNNNNNNNNNNNNNNNNNNNNNNNNNNNNNNNNNNNNNNNNNNNNNNNNNNNNNNNNNNNNNNNNNNNNNNNNNNNNNNNNNNNNNNNNNNNNNNNNNNNNNNNNNNNNNNNNNNNNNNNNNNNNNNNNNNNNNNNNNNNNNNNNNNNNNNNNNNNNNNNNNNNNNNNNNNNNNNNNNNNNNNNNNNNNNNNNNNNNNNNNNNNNNNNNNNNNNNNNNNNNNNNNNNNNNNNNNNNNNNNNNNNNNNNNNNNNNNNNNNNNNNNNNNNNNNNNNNNNNNNNNNNNNNNNNNNNNNNNNNNNNNNNNNNNNNNNNNNNNNNNNNNNNNNNNNNNNNNNNNNNNNNNNNNNNNNNNNNNNNNNNNNNNNNNNNNNNNNNNNNNNNNNNNNNNNNNNNNNNNNNNNNNNNNNNNNNNNNNNNNNNNNNNNNNNNNNNNNNNNNNNNNNNNNNNNNNNNNNNNNNNNNNNNNNNNNNNNNNNNNNNNNNNNNNNNNNNNNNNNNNNNNNNNNNNNNNNNNNNNNNNNNNNNNNNNNNNNNNNNNNNNNNNNNNNNNNNNNNNNNNNNNNNNNNNNNNNNNNNNNNNNNNNNNNNNNNNNNNNNNNNNNNNNNNNNNNNNNNNNNNNNNNNNNNNNNNNNNNNNNNNNNNNNNNNNNNNNNNNNNNNNNNNNNNNNNNNNNNNNNNNNNNNNNNNNNNNNNNNNNNNNNNNNNNNNNNNNNNNNNNNNNNNNNNNNNNNNNNNNNNNNNNNNNNAAGCUUGAGAUAAGAGGAGACGUUAUAUGUGCUGGAUGUCAAUAUGGGAAAGCACAUCAACUUCCCUAUGGAGAAUCAAAGUAUCAAGCGNNNNNNNNNNNNNNNNNNNNNNNNNNNNNNNNNNNNNNNNNNNNNNNNNNNNNNNNNNNNNNNNNNNNNNNNGACCAGUGAAGCAGUCCUCCAUCAGCGGUUACCGUUACAUGGUAACAUUCAGUGAUGACUUCUCAAGGUACGUAUGGAUUUACUUCAUAAAAGAGAAAUUUGAAGUAUUUGAGAAGUUUAAAGAGUUUCAAUAUACUGUGGAGAAUGAUAUUGGAAGAAAAAUCAAAUGUCUCCGUACGGACAAUGGGGGAGAAUACACGUCACGAGAGUUCAAUGAAUAUCUUAAAGAGAAGUUGAUAAGACGACAACUAACUUGUCCAAAUACACCACAACAAAAUGGAGUGGCUGAAAGAAAAAAUAGACAUCUGGCGGAGAUAUGCAGAAGUAUGUUGCAUAGUAUGAAUGUACCAGCAAGGUUUUGGGCAGAAUGCAUGAAGACUGUUGUCCACAUCAUCAACAGGCUGCCGCAGGCAAGAUUGAGAUUUAUCUCACCAUUUGAGAAACUUAAAAAAAUAGAUUCCUACUGUAAGCCACUUUCGAGUUUUUGGUUGUGUGUGCUAUGUGUUCGUGCCAGAUCAUCUCCGCAACAAGUUUGAUAAGAAAGCUGUUCGUUGCAUCUUUGUUGGAUACGAUGAACAAAGAAAAGGAUGGAAGUGUUGUGACCCUACCACAAAUCGGACAUAUGUGUCAAGAAAUGUGGUAUUUGAUGAAGCAUCAUCUUGGUGGUCCAAAGAAGUCUCCCUGCCAGACUCAAUAGCUCUUGAGCAAAAGCUGCAAGAUAAGCUCAAUGAAGUAGAACAAGGGAACAAGAUAGACUCUAACCAGGAGGUAUCUCCACAAAAGGAAAAGAAAAGCUUACCACAAACUGGAGCUUGUGAAACACCAGAUGAGUUGCAAGAAGAAGUCCAAGAAGAGUCACAAUCGCAACUGAGGAGGUCUACACGACUGAAGCGUCCAAACAUCAAGUACAUAGAUGCAGCAUUAACCGAGGUGGUUAACAUCAAAGAGGCUGCUACCUUUGAAGAAGCUUCAAAGAGUAGGGAUCGGAAUAAUCCGACGAAGGUGGAGAUCCCCAAAGGGUAUGGACGUUAUGAUGCUUGCAAAGUUUCAGGAAUCGCUCACAAAAGACGCAAAGAAAAAAUUAAGUUGGUGUUGAGGGGGAGUGUUAAGAAUUCAUCACCAACUUAAUUCUUUACUUAAGAUAAAUCAAGAAAAAUCUAGAAUAUUCCGGAGGUGUAGAGAAUUGAAGGAAGAUCUCUAGAAUGAGUAUUCUAGAAAGAAUAGUCUAGAAAUGUUCUAGAAAGAAUAGUUCUAGAAAAAGAUAGUUAGGAAUAUUCUAGAAUAGAGUAGUAUGUAUCUCUCUAGAUUCUUCCAUCACCACCUAUAAAUAGAGGUGGUCCAUUUGAGUUGUAAGCAACCAAGCAAGAAACCAAGCAAGAAAUAAGAGAGCAAACAAGAGUGAGUGCUUAAGUCAAAUAGUGUUGCUGAAGCAAGCAACAAGUGUGAUCAAGAUUGUAAGACCGAAGCGGGUCCUUACUUUGAUAUAAUAAAAUUCAAGUUGUGAGAAAUCGAUUGUGCCCGUCGUCUCCAAAACAAUAAUAUUCAACACUCAUCCCCAAUUCUAGAGACUAAGUUUCUCAUCUUCAUUCUUAUCUCUAUCCUUACUUGUUAUUUCAAUAUUUCCAUUGUAAUUAGAUAGUUUGAUUAUUCCAAUUAGAAUAUUAAAGUUGUAAUAGUGUUCCAGUGCUCUUAUUAAUAGUGUGAGAAUUUUGGUUUGUUACAUCAGACGUUCUCUUUUCGAAUAAUUGAACGUCUCAUAUUAUUUGCUAAUGAAAAAUAUCAUGAGUAGGACCCAAAAAGAUAGUAGUACCAGAUAACAAACAAAAAAAUACUGUACAGUCUAAAAAUAAGUAUAGAAUAGCUUGAACUUUUGGGCCGUUGUAUAAAACACCCAGAAAGGGAGACAGGGGAGUCACUGGUCCACUUAAUUAUUACAUGUAGUAAAAUUAUUAGUUAUGUACUAGCAAUACUGGAAGUAUUAUUUCAUGGCAUAUAUUGGUGACUAAGAUAAGUGAUAAGCAUAAUAAAUAAUUUAGAAGUAGGUGGAUUCGAGUCAUCAACGAGCUCCCGGGGAGGAAUGAAAAAACUCUUAAUAAUAACUACAACAUGGAGUGGCCACUGCUAGCAUAGGUGAUAUCCUACGAAUAAUGAUGCCACUGCCUUCCGUCAUAUCCAAAUCCUCCGGUUUUAACACUUCUGGUAAUGCUAAAUUGAACUUGUGCACAAUCCUUGCUAAUGCUAGCUCAAUUACCACAAUAGCAAAACCAGUUCCUGGGCAGCCCCUUCUCCUAAAAUUGUCAACUUUUUAUAUUUUGGCUUACUUGGAAGCAAGUCUAUCCUCUCCUAUCCAAUCAAUUAGGGUGGCCAUUAAUCAGAUAUUAUUAGGCUAAAGAUAACAUAUUGCUCCCUCCGUUUUUAAUUAUUUAUCCAUUUUUUUAGUUAUUCCUAAUUACUUGUCUAUUUUGACAAAUCAAGAAAGAAUAAUUUUUUUUACCUAUUAUACCGUCAAUUUAUUACUUUGAAAAAAGUAGAACUUUUUGAAAAUCUUGAGUUUUUAAUUCAUCCACUUCAUAAUUAAUAUGGGUAAAAUGGUAAACUCACUAUUUCAAUAAUUGUUUUCUUAAUAAGUGUGCCAAUUUAAAAAUGGAUAAGUAAUUAGGGAUAGAGAAAGUAUAUCGAAAUAAUAUAAUCAGAUAUUAUGCUAAAGAUGAUUAACAAAACUUUGAACAAUUAUAAAUAAGAUAGCAAAAAAAUCGAUUAGAUAAUACUUAGCAAAUUAACACGGUUCAACGAUUAGUGAUGGAAUCUGAAUAUGAUUCGGGAUUUUCACUAUUAAUGAAAUUCAAAAGGCAUAAUACAUAAAUGUGCCCUUUAACUUGACUUCAUUUUAUGUUUAUGUCGUUCAAUUUUGGGUAUGCACAUAAACUUGUAUAAAGUUGAACAACUAGCCACAUGAGUUCUACACGACACAAUACAUUUAAGACACCACGUAGGAUAAAAAAUGACAUGUAGGAUACCAUAUAGGACAUGUGUGUCUGUUUCUUCAACUUUAUACAAAUUUAAAUGUCUACUUGUGCACACCCGAAGUUGAAGGGCAUAAAUGUGAUUUGAAGCCAAGUUAAAUGGUAUAUUUAUGUAUUAUGCCUAUUCAAAAUAUGAAUAAGUAAACAUACAAAUUAGCUGACUACAAUAAUACAAAGAUAAAAAAACAAUUUUAAUUAUAUGUAUAAAUAGUAUAAUUUUCCAUCAAAGGUGGUUCAUUUGAUUCCUCACUUCUUUCCCUCAUUUAAAACUAUGCAAUAUGAGACUUUCAUGUCACAUGGAAUCCUUCUCUUUUUUUUUUUUGGAAAUCUUAAUAGCUCAGUUAACUAACUGACUAUUUGAAUUCUCGAUUCCCCAUACUGUAAUCCUCUACCCCAAUUUUUUUCAUUACCUUCCUCACAUAUGUAUAAGACCGAAUCCAAAGAACUAAGAUGAGAGAAUUUUGGGAGAGCCGCCACUCCAACUACUGCCAUGUAUUAUCCAUACUAGAUCUGACCAUCUGUCCAUCCUACCCUCCUCUACGUUCUUGACAACCCAUUUUUGUCUUAGUCAAGUCUUUUAGUGGCACAUUUUGACCUUCUUUUCCAUUACUUAGAAAAAGUGAGCUAUUAUUCAGAUACAAAAUACUAUCAUUAUCGCCUAGAAAAUUAGACAUUCAACCCGUAAUCACAAUGAUCCAAUUACAAAAGCUCUGAACCCCCUAGGUCUAGACUGGCUCUGGCCCCUGGUUUUAUCACUUGACCUUCACAUGAGUAAACUCGUUGAUAUAGAGGAUUACAGUAUCGAUUUCUUUAAAAGAAAAAAACCUUAAUUUAUAAAAGUUCAAAAGAUUUUAAUUCAAUGUUUGUAAGUAAAAAAACAUAUUUCAUAAAACGGUUGCAAAUCACAUCGAAUAAGUUCCAUUGAUUGGUGUAUGGUUCUCAUAAGGGAAGUAACAGCAGCAUAAGCCAUAUAUCCAAAAAAUAGGACUAUCUCUCACUCUCAGUAUGAAAAUGGACAAAUUAAUUGCCACAAGUUAUGAAAAUGGCUAGUCCUCAGAACACCUUAACUACUUGCUGCAGAAUAAAAAAAAGACGCAAAAAAUGGAAAAUAAUAUGUUAGAUGUCCCAUAAUUAAGGAACAAGAGAACAUUAUAGUAAGAAUGAGCAUGCAGGUAUAAGAACUUACUCAUUAUUGCGGCAAGAAGCAACUUCUUUCUCAAAGUCAUCAUCAUCAUCAUCUUCAUCUGUUGUUACAGUAUCAAAUACCAAUUUCUCGAGCUGAUAUAAGUAGCGAAAAUCAUACAGGUCCUUGUGAUUGCGAAAGUCCUCUGGGACGCCAAAUACUUUCAACUUCUUUAAAUUGGGAAAUAGUCUAAAAAAAGACCCUGUACAAUACCAAGGAUUCAAUUGAUUGAGGCAUUGCAAACUUUUCAAAACCAAUCUGUUCUCUGUAGGCUCAUGACUCUGCAAGUAAUUCCAGCCCAUACACAGCUUCCUCAAUUGUGGCAUUGUCAAAAUUUCCGAUGGUAAUAUGAAAGGAUAAGCACAAUCACGAAACGGAAAGUUAAACUUAAAAGUUUGUAGAUAGCAUAGGCUUGAUAUCGAUAGAGGAAUGUCUAUUAUUGAUGAGGGAACAGCUUUUAACGAUCCUCGAUACUGCUUUAAGCAAGGAUAAAAACACAAAGAUAGGUAUCUCAAAUGAAUUAGAGAAAGUACUCCACUGGGAAAAAUUGGGUAUAUAUUCAAACCAAGAUCUAGUACUCUUACUAGCUUGAAAGACAAUUCCAGUGUGAAGCAUUUCAAUCCACCCAACAUGAUAAUAGAAUGAGCCUCACUGUUACGACACCAAGCCAAUUCUUCCUUCUUAUAGAUACUGAUCCGACUUCGACUCUUAAAGGAACACUGCAUGGAUUGUGCACAUGAAUUUUGAUCACUCUUUCCUCUGAUAACAUUCACAAAAUUCAUGUUUCGAGCUUCCCUCAAACAGAGUUCACGGAUCACAUCAUGCAUUCCACAUCUCUCUAUUUCCCCAUCAAAACUCAAAUUGUGGAUAGAAAUUAGACUUCUAUCUACAAGUUCGUUUAUACAUGUUUCUGCCACCUCUUCUAUGCUUUUUCCUUCUUCUUCAUUCAAAAACCCCUCUACGGCCCAUAACUCAACAAGUGCAUUUACAUAAAUCCGUUCAUCCUCUGCGAAAAUUGCAAAAUACAGAAAACACGGUUUUAGGUGAGAAGGCAAGUGAUGGUAACUCAAAGCCAACACUCUCAUGCAUUUUGCUUCAAGAUCUCUGCUUACCACCGAACUUACAUUCUCCGCAACAUUUUGCCACUCAUCCAAUGUUUUACUGAUUUUGGAGAGAAGUCCAGCAAUCAAAGUAAUUUCUAGAGGUAACCCUCCACAUUUUAAUGCAAUUUGUUUCCCAAUAUUUUCAAAUUCAGGAGAAUAAGAACCUUCUUUUUCAAAGAUCUUUUUGUGUAGUAAAUUCCAACUUUCGUCAAAAUUCAUGAGGCGCAUNNN
rnacentral:lncRNA from 1 species